rnacentral:rRNA from 1 species
GACAGAGGAGCCAAGCGUUGUCCGGAUUGACUGGGCGUAAAGCGCACGCAGGCGGAUGCGCGCGUGGGGUGUGAAAUCUGGCCGCUUAACGGCCAGGCGCCAUCCCAUACGGCGCGUCUGGAGUGAUGCAGAGGUCGAUGGAAUUGCCGGUGUAGUGGUGAAAUGCGUAGAUAUCUGGAGGAACACCGGUGGCGAAGGCGGCAUCCUGGACCAACACUGACGCUGAGGAGCGAAAGCCAGGGGAGCAAACGGG